rnacentral:tRNA from 1 species
GCCGGAGUGGCGGAAUUGGUAGACGCGCCGGACUCAAAAUUCGGUGAUUUUAGGAUCGUGUGGGUUCGAGUCCCACCUCCGGUA